rnacentral:snRNA from 1 species
GUCCCUUGGGGGACAUCCGAUAAAAUUGGAACGAUACAGAGAAGAUUAGCAUGGCCCCUACGCAAGGAUGACACGCACAAAUCGAGAAAUAGAGGCCAACAUU